AGUGGUUAGUACUCUGCGUUGUG
rnacentral:piRNA from 2 species